rnacentral:misc_RNA from 1 species
AACGCACAUUGCGCCCCUUGGUAUUCCAUGGGGCAUGCCUGUUCGAGCGUCAUCUACACCCUCAAGCUCUGCUUGGUGUUGGGCGUCUGUCCCGCCUCUGUGCGUGGACUCGCCCCAAAUGCAUUGGCAGCGGUCCUUGCCUCCUCUCGCGCAGCACAAUUGCGUUUCUUGAGGUGUGCGGCUCGCAUCCACAAAGCAACCAUCGUCUUUGACCUCGGAUCAGGUAGGGAUACCCGCUGAACUUAA